rfam:Ictidomys tridecemlineatus contig053366, whole genome shotgun sequence.
UGGGCUGUGGCUCAGUGGUAGAGCACUCGUACAACACCUGAGAGGCCCUGGGUUCAAUCCUCAGCACCACAU